AACGAACGCUGGCGGCAGGCUUAACACAUGCAAGUCGAACGCCCCGCAAGGGGAGUGGCAGACGGGUGAGUAACGCGUGGGAACAUACCCUUUCCUGCGGAAUAGCUCUGGGAAACUGGAAUUAAUACCGCAUACGCCCUACGGGGGAAAGAUUUAUCGGGGAAGGAUUGGCCCGCGUUGGAUUAGCUAGUUGGUGGGGUAAAGGCCUACCAAGGCGACGAUCCAUAGCUGAUCUGAGAGGAUGAUCAGCCACAUUGGGACUGAGACCCGGCCGAAACUCCUAUGGGAGGCAGCAGUGGGGAAUGUGGGACGAUGGGCGCAAGCUUGAUCCAGCCCUGCAGCGUGAGUGAUGAAGGCCUGAGGGUUGUAAAGCUCUGUCACCGAUGAAGAUAAUGACGGUAGUCGGAGAAGAAGCCCCGGCUAUCUGCGUGCCAGCCGCCGCCGUAACAC
rnacentral:rRNA from 1 species